UACGUAGGGGGCAAGCGUUGUCCGGAUUUAUUGGGCGUAAAGAGCGUGUAGGCGGCCAGACAGGUCAGCUGUGAAAACUCGAGGCUCAACCUCGAGACGUCGGUUGAAACCGUCUGGCUAGAGUCCGGAAGAGGAGAGUGGAAUUCCCGGUGUAGCGGUGAAAUGCGCAGAUAUCGGGAAGAACACCCGUGGCGAAGGCGGCUCUCUGGGACGGUACUGACGCUGAGACGCGAAAGCGUGGGGAGCGAACAGG
rnacentral:rRNA from 1 species